CCAAGACCUUCAUAUCUGCUCCACGAGCUCAGCGCACUGGGCAGCCCGCUUGGUGCUUAGUAGACGCUGACGCUGCUCAUCUCACUUGUCUUCCCGUCCCCCAGGGAGAAACCGACGUCCCCAUCUCAUCCCGCUAGUGAGGCUGUUCCCCAAGCUACCUUGGGGCUGGUCUAGCAGAACAUCCCACUUCCUGUGUCCUCCGAGGAGAGAUUAGCAGAAGGUGAAGAACAGCUAGCCCUGCCCAGAGCUCCCCCGCUGCUCUGAUCAAACACCACCCCGCUGGCUCUUCUUGCACGGGUUCCCCCAGCGCAGGCCAGAAACAGCUGAUCAAACACAUCAGGACAAGUAAAAUCAGUCUGGACCAGAGAGUCUUUAAAAACCUCACCCACGGAGACCUCCCGGAACCCCAGUGAGGCCAGCCUGCCCUUGCCUUCCUUGGAGCAGGGCCCCCACCACUCGGACGGAGCUUCCUGCCCCCAGAACACCCAUCCAGACAGCACAUGGGCCCUGACGGACGUGUUGCCCUCUGCAUGUCCCACCAAGAAGCCACGAAGGCCACCUAGCAGCUUCCACAGUACACACAGCUCAGAAUGGCCUUGGGCUGCUGGAAGUUGCUUGGAAGCCCCGCAUUAGAGCUUCAGCCCUCAACCUGAGAUUCUGCUUUGGAAGCCAUCUGAUAGAGUGGAAAGAGUUCUAGACCAGGUG
rnacentral:lncRNA from 1 species